rnacentral:rRNA from 1 species
AGAGUUUGAUCCUGGCUCAGAACGAACGCUGGCGGCAUGCCUAACACAUGCAAGUCGAACGAGAAAGUUCUUCGGAAUGAGUAAAGUGGCGCACGGGUGCGUAACACGUGGGUAAUCUACCCUUAAGUUUGGGAUAACCCCUCGAAAGAGGGGCUAAUACCUGAGAGACCACAGGGGCAUAAGCUCUAGAGGUUAAAGAUGGGGAUCGUAAGACCUAUCGCUUUAGGAUGAGCCCGCGCACUAUCAGGUAGUUGGUGAGGUAAUGGCUCACCAAGCCUAUGACGGUUAGCUGGUCUGAGAGGAUGAUCAGCCACACUGGAACUGAGACACGGUCCAGACUCCUACGGGAGGCAGCAGUGGGGAAUCUUGCACAAUGGGCGAAAGCCUGAUGCAGCAAUGCCGCGUGAGUGAUGAAGGCCUUCGGGUUGUAAAUCUCUGUCGGUUGGGACAAAUGUUUCGAUACCUAAUAAGUAUCGAGAGUGAUGGUACCAGCAAAGGAAGAGGCGGCUAACUCUGUGCCAGCAGCCGCGGUAAUACAGAGGCCUCAAGCGUUGUUCGGAAUUACUGGGCGUAAAGGGAAUGUAGGUGGUCGGAUAAGUCAGAUGUGAAAGCCCUGGGCUUAACCUGGGAAGUGCAUUUGAUACUGUUCGGCUGGAGUGCGAGAGAGGAGAUCGGAAUUCCUGGUGUAGGGGUGAAAUCCGUAGAUAUCAGGAGGAAUACCGAUGGCGAAGGCAGGUCUCUGGCUCGCAACUGACACUGAGAUUCGAAAGCAUGGGUAGCAAACAGGAUUAGAUACCCUGGUAGUCCAUGCCGUAAACGAUGGAUGCUUGUUGUUGGAAGUGUUAACCCUUUCAGUAACGAAGCUAACGCGUUAAGCAUCCCGCCUGGGGAGUACGGUCGCAAGAUUAAAACUCAAAGAAAUUGACGGGGACCCGCACAAGCAGUGGAGCAUGUGGUUCAAUUCGACGCAACGCGAAGAACCUUAUCCUGGUCUUGACAUCCUUUGACCGCCGGCGAAAGUCGGUUUUCGUAGCAAUACGACAAAGAGACAGGUGCUGCAUGGCUGUCGUCAGCUCGUGUCGUGAGAUGUUGGGUUAAGUCCCGUAACGAGCGCAACCCACGCCUCUUGUUGCCAUCAUUAAGUUGGGCACUCUAGAGGGACUGCUAGCGUUAAGCUGGAGGAAGGUGUGGAUGACGUCAAGUCCUCAUGGCCCUUAUGACCAGGGCUACACACGUGCUACAAUGCAAGGGACAAAGGGCUGCGAAAUGGUAACAUGGAGCCAAUCCCAAAAACUCUUGCUCAGUUCGGAUUGAGGUCUGCAACUCGACCUCAUGAAGCUGGAAUUGCUAGUAAUCGCGGAUCAGCACGCCGCGGUGAAUACGUUCCCGGGUCUUGUACACACCGCCCGUCACACCACGAAAGUCGUUUGCACCAGAAGUCGCUGAGCUAACCGCAAGGAGGCAAGCGCCCAAGGUGUGUGCGAUGAUUGGGGUGAAGUCGUAACAAGGUA